rnacentral:lncRNA from 1 species
CAGAAACCAAGCAGCAAACUGCUUGGCCAAGAGGGAGGGGCACCCAGCGGCCGUGCCCUUUGACUUGACCUCUGUUCCUGCCAACGAGCCGGGAAGUCAAGCUGGUGUCUAACGAGAGCCUCCACUCCUACUGAUUAAUGUUCAUAGUUCUGGAAGGUACUCUGCAUGUUACCAGAGGAAAAAGGUAAGCACCAACCCAGCUACAAAACCUUCCAUCUACAGUGAUGACCUGCCUGCAGGAUAUGCUGAUGCUGAUGCCAUGGUGGCAUAAACAUUGUCAGAGUAACCAACCACUGUCUGAUUGGAUUUGAGGCCCACUCCAUGAGACGGAACUCAUGCCCGACCCAACACUGCUCAGGUGACCAUGAACCUGAAACUAGAGAGGCCAUAGACCAAAGAAAAACUGUUUUUCUGCUAAAGGAACAUAGCAAUAAAAUGACUUGUGAUGACAUUCUGCUAUACCCAUACGUCAGUGUCUCAUCCAGUCAUUACCUGGGAAGCUUCCCCCUACAGUUGACAGGAACUGAUACAAAGAUCCACAAAUGAACAAUGUGCAGAGCGUGAAAAACC